rnacentral:rRNA from 1 species
UAAGGAAUAUUGGUCAAUGGAGGCAACUCUGAACCAGCCAUGCCGCGUGAGUGAAGAAGGCCUUCGGGUUGUAAAGCUCUUUUGUCAGGGAAGAAACGGUAGUAGCGAAUAACUAUUACUAAUGACGGUACCUGAAGAAUAAGCACCGGCUAACUACGUGCCAGCAGCCGCGGUAAUACGUAGGGUGCAAGCGUUAAUCGGAAUUACUGGGCGUAAAGCGUGCGCAGGCGGUUGUGUAAGUCAGAUGUGAAAUCCCCGGGCUCAACCUGGGAAUUGCAUUUGAGACUGCACGGCUAGAGUGUGUCAGAGGGGGGUAGAAUUCCACGUGUAGCAGUGAAAUGCGUAGAUAUGUGGAGGAAUACCGAUGGCGAAGGCAGCCCCCUGGUAUAACACUGACGCUCAUGCACGAAAGCGUGGGGAGCAAACAGGAUUAGAUACCCUUGUAGUCCCUGAGCGGGCUGGCAAGGCGCAU